AUGCCUGAGUUGGAAGAGAUUGUCUCGACGGCCGGCGGGGCAGGCUCGCCGCCGCCGCCGCUGUGGUUUCUCGUCUUCCUUGCCCUCGGCAUCCAGGCUGUCGUUGUAUCCGCCGCGACCUUCCUCGCGUGGCUGUACCGCGCAUUCCUCCGGCGGGGGAAGGACCUGGGCCUGCGGUACGGCGCGUGGGCGGUGGUCACCGGCGCCACCGACGGUAUCGGCCGCGCGCUGGCGCUCGAGCUCGCCCGCAGGGGGCUCCAUCUCGUCCUCGUCGGCCGGAACCCCGCCAAGCUGUCCCGCGUCAGCAAGGAGGCCCAGAAGGCGGCGCCGUCCUGCAUGGUCAAGAGCGUGGUGUUCGACCUCGCCGGUGACACGACGGAGCUGUCGCAGGGCGCGGCGAGGGUGGCCGCCGCCGUGAAGGGGCUCGACGUGGGCCUCCUGGUGAACAACGCCGGCGCGACGUACCCUUGCGCGGCCUACUUCCACGAGGUGGAGACCCCGGUGUGGGAGGCCGUGGUGCGGGUGAACGUGGAGGCGGCCACUCGGAUCUCGCGCGCCGUCGUGCCCGCGAUGGCGGGAAAGGGGAGGGGCGCCAUCGUCAACGUCGGGUCCGGUUCGUCCGUGGUGGUGCCGGCGUUCCCGCUCUACGCCGUGUACGCGGCAAGCAAAGCGUAUAUUGAUCAACUAUCUCGGAGUCUAAGCGUUGAAUACAAACACUACGGAGUGGAUGUCCAAUGCCAGAUUCCUUUGUACGUGGCCACCAAGAUGUCGCCUGUUAAGGGCGACUCUCCGUUCAUACCAUCGCCCGAGGAGUACGUCAAAGCUGCCAUUCGCUGCAUUGGUUACGAGCCGAGAUGCGUCCCCUACUGGCGCCACUCCGUCCAGUGGUUCUUCGCGUCUCUGGCGCCGGACUCUGCUCUCAAUCUGUGGCGUCUCUGGGUUGGUGUCCGCAAGAGAAAUGAGAUGAGAGCUUUGCUCGGAGAGAAGGAACUCAGCUGA
rnacentral:rRNA from 1 species